rnacentral:tRNA from 1 species
GGGGCCGUAGCUCAGCUGGGAGAGCGCUUGCAUGGCAUGCAAGAGGUCGUCGGUUCGAGCCCGAUCGGCUCCA